rnacentral:rRNA from 1 species
ACAUGCAAGUCGAACGAGAAAGUUCCUUCGGGAGCGAGUAAAGUGGCGGACGGGUGAGUAACGCGUAGGAAUCUACCUUUCAGUGGGGGAUAGCUCGGGGAAACUCGAAUUAAUACCGCAUACACCCUUCGGGGGAAAGGGGGCCUCUCCUUGGAAGCUCUCGCUGUUAGAUGAGCCUGCGUGAGAUUAGCUUGUUGGUAAGGUAAUGGCUUACCAAGGCUACGAUCUCUAGCUGGUCUGAGAGGACGAUCAGCCACACUGGGACUGAGACACGGCCCAGACUCCUACGGGAGGCAGCAGUAGGGAAUAUUGGACAAUGGGGGCAACCCUGAUCCAGGCAUGCCGCGUGUGUGAAGAAGGCCUUAGGGUUGUAAAGCACUUUAAGUGAGGAAGAAAAGAUUUAAAUUAAUACUUUAAGUCCCUGACAUUACUCACAGAAUAAGGACCGGCUAACUCCGUGCCAGCAGCCGCGGUAAUACGGAGGGUCCAAGCGUUAAUCGGAAUUACUGGGCGUAAAGCGCGCGUAGAUGGUUUAUUCAGUUGGGUGUGAAAUCCCUGGGCUCAACCUAGGAACUGCAUUCAAAACUUAUAAACUAGAGUACGAAAGAGGAGAGUAGAAUUCAUGGUGUAGCGGUGAAAUGCGUAGAGAUCAUGAGGAAUACCAGUGGCGAAGGCGACUCUCUGGUUCGAGACUGACAUUGAGGUGCGAAAGCGUGGGUAGCAAACAGGAUUAGAUACCCUGGUAGUCCACGCCGUAAACGAUGAGAACUAGCCGUUGGAUCUUUAGAUUCAGUGGCGCAGCUAACGCAUUAAGUUCUCCGCCUGGGGAGUACGGCCGCAAGGCUAAAACUCAAAUGAUUGACGGGGGCCCGCACAGCGUGGAGCAUGUGUUUAUUCGAUGCACGCGAAGACCUUACAACCUGACAUCAGUGAAGUUUAGAGAUAAACUGUGCUUGGAAACUGUGACAGUGUGCAUGCUGCGUCAGCUCGGUCGGGAAUGUAUGUAAGUCCAGUACG